rnacentral:rRNA from 1 species
AGGAAUAUUGGGCAAUGCCCGAAAGGGUGACCCAGCAACGCCGCGUGGAGGAUGAAGGUCGUAAGAUUGUAAACUCCUGUUAGAGGGGAAGAAUAACUAAGUUUGGAGCUUAGUAUGACUGUACCCUCAGAGAAAGCCCCGGCUAACUACGUGCCAGCAGCCGCGGUAAUACGUAGGGGGCAAGCGUUGUCCGGAUUUACUGGGUGUAAAGGGCGCGCAGGCGGAAUGGAAAGUCAGUGGUGAAAUCCUACAGCUUAACUGUAGAACUGCCUUUGAUACUUUCAUUCUUGAGUUCGGGAGAGAGAGACGGAAUUCCAGGUGUAGUGGUGAAAUACGUAGAUAUCUGGAAGAACACCAGUUGCGAAGGCGGUCUCUUGGUCCGAUACUGACGCUGAGGCGCGAAAGCGUGGGGAGCAAACA